rnacentral:rRNA from 1 species
GACGAACGCUGGCGGCGUGCUUAACACAUGCAAGUCGAACGGAAAGGCCCUGCUUGCAGGGUACUCGAGUGGCGAACGGGUGAGUAACACGUGGGUGAUCUGCCCUGCACUUCGGGAUAAGCCUGGGAAACUGGGUCUAAUACCGGAUAGGAGCCAUUUUUAGUGUGAUGGUUGGAAAGUUUUUUCGGUGUAGGAUGAGCUCGCGGCCUAUCAGCUUGUUGGUGGGGUAAUGGCCUACCAAGGCGGCGACGGGUAGCCGGCCUGAGAGGGUGGACGGCCACAUUGGGACUGAGAUACGGCCCAGACUCCUACGGGAGGCAGCAGUGGGGAAUAUUGCACAAUGGGCGCAAGCCUGGUGCAGCGACGCCGCGUGGGGGAUGACGGCCUUCGGGUUGUAAACUCCUUUCGCUAGGGACGAAGCUUUUUGUGACGGUACCUAGAGAAGAAGCACCGGCUAACUACGUG